rnacentral:lncRNA from 1 species
GCUUGUUCUACUCCUACAGACCCAGUCCUAUUUAGGAGGGAUUUCAUGCGCGCUUUGGCUCUGAUCAGACUACUGCGUGCCUUCUGUUAGGAAGGUUUCAGGGCACCAGAAAAGCAGCCAAGUCCUCCUUCACACAAUGUCCUGACAGUGGUUGGAAAAAGCAUUUUUCCUCAAGGGACUAAAAGGGUGGAUUGCAUUCCUAAGCCCCUGGAAGGGAGAGGCUUUAUGUAAUUCUCAAAAGCCCUAAUGUGGAUGUUGUGCUCUGAGGGACAUGGGAGCUGCGAAGAACCUGAAUCCUUCCAACUAAGUGGUGACAGCACUCAGAUAGUGAGCAAGAAGAAAUCUUAGACCCUACUAGGAGGCUGGAAAGCCUUUUGCUUCUGUUGCUGUCACAUUCAAGUCUUAUCCAAGCAGAGCAAGAAGAAACAUGCAGAAUUGGGUAUGUUAGACCCACACUUUUCAACUACAUCCAAAUGCCUCUCUUUGUAGUUUUAGUUAGAAGUAGAACUUAUGUUCUUUGUGUAAAGACUGGGCAUUUGCUCUGAGCUGGUCUCCCAGCCUUCCCCCAAUCAACAGAAAGCACCCGCAGAAGCAUCUACUAGAAUAGUAGAUGUUGAAUCAGGGAGAAAUGUCAAAGGAAAAAUCAAUUGAAUGUCUAAAAGCAGC